AAUGUCUUUUUGCUUUUGUCAGUUUAAAGACCAAAAGUGGGGGACUUUUUAUCAAUAUUAAGCCUCAUACCAUUAGAUGAACCCCAGACGAGAUUAGCUAGUAGGUAAGGUAAUGGCUUACCUAGGCGACGAUCUCUAGCUGGUCUGAGAGGAUGAUCAGCCACACUGGAACUGAGACACGGUCCAG
rnacentral:rRNA from 1 species